rnacentral:rRNA from 1 species
GAUGAACGCUGGCGGCGUGCCUAAUACAUGCAAGUCGAGCGAACAGAUGAGGAGCUUGCUCCUCUGACGUUAGCGGCGGACGGGUGAGUAACACGUGGAUAACCUACCUAUAAGACUGGGAUAACUUCGGGAAACCGGGGCUAAUACCGGAUAAUAUAUUGAACCGCAUGGUUCAAUAGUGAAAGACGGUUUUGCUGUCACUUAUAGAUGGAUCCGCGCCGCAUUAGCUAGUUGGUAAGGUAACGGCUUACCAAGGCGACGAUGCGUAGCCGACCUGAGAGGGUGAUCGGCCACACUGGAACUGAGACACGGUCCAGACUCCUACGGGAGGCAGCAGUAGGGAAUCUUCCGCAAUGGGCGAAAGCCUGACGGAGCAACGCCGCGUGAGUGAUGAAGGUCUUCGGAUCGUAAAACUCUGUUAUUAGGGAAGAACAAAUGUGUAAGUAACUAUGCACGUCUUGACGGUACCUAAUCAGAAAGCCACGGCUAACUACGUG